rnacentral:rRNA from 1 species
UGGGGAAUCUUGCGCAAUGGGCGAAAGCCUGACGCAGCGACGCCGCGUGAGUGAUGAAGGCCUUCGGGUUGUAAAGCUCUGUGGGGAGAGACGAAUAAGUGCAAGCUAAUACCUUGCAUGAUGACAGUAUCUCCUUAGCAAGCACCGGCUAACUCUGUGCCAGCAGCCGCGGUAAGACAGAGGGUGCAAACGUUGUUCGGAAUUACUGGGCGUAAAGCGAGUGUAGGCGGUUUCCUAAGUCAGGUGUGAAAGCCCCGGGCUCAACCCGGGAAGUGCACUUGAAACUGGGAGGCUAGAGUACUGGAGAGGUUGGUGGAAUUCUCGGUGUAGAGGUGAAAUUCGUAGAUAUCGAGAGGAACACCGGUGGCGAAGGCGGCCAACUGGACAGAUACUGACGCUGAGACUCGAAAGCGUGGGGAGCAAACA